AACUAAAGCUAGCCCAACCAACUACAAACUCAAUUACCACAAUAAUCCCUCAAUUAAAACAUUUAAUACCACAAGUAUAGUAUAGGAGAUAGAAAUACUACUUGGAGCUAUAGAGAAAGUACCGCAAGGGAAUGAUGAAAGAAAUUUUAAAGUAAUAAAUAGCAAAGAUUACCACUUGUACCUUUUGCAUAAUGAAUUAGCUAGAAUAAUUUAGCAAAGAGAUCUUAAGCUAACCUCCCCGAAACCAGACGAGCUACCUAUGAACAAUCCACAGGGAUAAACUCAUCUAUGUUGCAAAAUAGUGAGAAGAUUCACAGGUAGAGGUGAAAAGCCUAACGAGCCUGGUGAUAGCUGGUUACCCAGAACAGAAUCUCAGUUCAACUUUAAAUUUGCCUAACAACUUCAAAAUUAUAAUGUAAAUUUAAAAUAUAAUCUAAAAAGGUACAGCUUUUUAGAACAAGGCUACAACCUUACUUAGAGAGUAAAAUGUAAUAUAACCAUAGUAGGCCUAAAAGCAGCCACCAAUUAAGAAAGCGUUCAAGCUCAACAAUAUACCCUUCUAAAUCCCAAAAAUCUUAAUCAACUCCUAAUAUAACACUGGGUUAAUCUAUUAAAUAAUAGAAGCAAUAAUGCUAAUAUGAGUAACAAGAAGUAUUUCUCCUUGCAUAAGCUUAUAACAGUCAACGAAUACCCACUGAUAGUUAACAAUAUGAUAAGAAUAAACCACCAAUAAAACACUUAUCAAAUCAAUUGUUAGCCCAACACAGGUAUGCAUCAAGGAAAGAUCAAAAGAAGUAAAAGGAACUCGGCAAACACAAACCCCGCCUGUUUACCAAAAACAUCACCUCCAGCAUACCCAGUAUUGGAGGCACUGCCUGCCCAGUGACAUCAGUUAAACGGCCGCGGUAUCCUGACCGUGCAAAGGUAGCAUAAUCAUUUGUUCUUUAAAUAAGGACUUGUAUGAAUGGCUUCACGAGGGUUUAACUGUCUCUUACUUCCAAUCAGUGAAAUUGACCUUCCCGUGAAGAGGCGGGAAUAAAAUAAUAAGACGAGAAGACCCUAUGGAGCUUUAAUUAACUGACCCAUAAUAAAUUUACUUAAAUACCAAUAGGUUUAACAUAACUUUACUAAUGGGUCAACAAUUUAGGUUGGGGUGACCUCGGAGAACAAAUAAACCUCCGAGUGAUUUAAGCACAGACAAACCAGUCAAAGCGCUCUAUCAUUAAUUGAUCCAAUAGCUUGAUCAACGGAACAAGUUACCCUAGGGAUAACAGCGCAAUCCUAUUUGAGAGUUCAUAUCAACAAUAGGGUUUACGACCUCGAUGUUGGAUCAGGACAUCCUAAUGGUGCAGCAGCUAUUAAAGGUUCGUUUGUUCAACGAUUAAAGUCCUACGUGAUCUGAGUUCAGACCGGAGUAAUCCAGGUCGGUUUCUAUCUAUUAUAACAUAACAACUUCUCCCAGUACGAAAGGACAAGAGAAGUAAGGCCCAUUUUAUUAAAACGCCUUAGGACUAAUAGAUGAUAAUAUCUAAAUCUAGCUAGUCCAUUUUGCUUAGUUAGCCCUAGAGAUAGGGCUU
rnacentral:rRNA from 1 species